ACCUUCACUGCUACAGAUUUCCAAUGCGCGUUCGCUGGUUCCGCAGUCAUCCUUCUGCUUUUGUCUUCUCUAUAAUAUCUUCUUCUCUUGCACCCUCGUUUAUCUCUUUAACAUUACAAAGUGCAAGACAUUUAUGGUUGUUGAGUGGUGUAAAUGUUGACUUAGCAUCACCAUAUCCUGAAUCCUCCUCUGUUAUAAAUUAAAAAAAAAAAAUCAAAAGUUUAAACCAAUAAGCCAUAUCAAUAGCCUAGAAAAUGAAGAAGAUAAAUGGUUCAUAGUUUGUAUAAACUGUUUAUUGAUACCCUACUGCAGUUAUGUCCAUUAAAAAAUAUGAGAAAAAGUUUGCAGAGAUCCAUAAUUUCAAACACCCUUUCAUGUUCUAAACUAUUUACCUAUUUUCAUAUCUCUUGUUUGUAUCACACAUAUACCCAUCACCCAUAAUCAACAAAGCAUAAAGGAAAAACUACACACAAUAUGUUAAAAUGAGAAGCAUAAACGAAAAACAUAACAAAAAAUUGCAUUAAUCAAAAUGAGAAGCCAAUUGAAUCAGCAUAAAAUUAAAAUGAUCAAUUAAAAGAACAAACCAGAAAUUUCUAGGGAAAAGAUUGAGACUUUGAG
rnacentral:lncRNA from 1 species